rnacentral:rRNA from 1 species
CCUACGGGUGGCUGCAGUGGGGAAUAUUGGACAAUGGGGGCAACCCUGAUCCAGCCAUGCCGCGUGUGUGAAGAAGGCCCUUGGGUUGUAAAGCACUUUCAGUGGGGAGAAAGGUCUGGCACCUAAUACGUGUUGGAAUUGAUGUUACCCACAGAAGAAGCACCGGCUAACUCCGUGCCAGCAGCCGCGGUAAUACGGAGGGUGCAAGCGUUAAUCGGAAUUACUGGGCGUAAAGCGCACGUAGGUGGUUUUCUAAGCCAGCUGUGAAAUCCCCG